rnacentral:rRNA from 1 species
UACGAAGGGGGCUAGCGUUGUUCGGAAUUAUUGGGCGUAAAGCGCACGUAGGCGGCUUGGCAAGUCGGAUGUGAAAUCCCUCGGCUCAACCAAGGAAGUGCAUCCGAAACUGCUGAGCUUGAGUACUUAAGAGGAUCGCGGAAUUCCCGGUGUAGAGGUGAAAUUCGUAGAUAUCGGGAGGAACACCUGCGGCGAAAGCGGCUCACUGGACCAUAACUGACGCUGAUGCACGAAAGCUAGGGGAGCAAACAGG